UUACAUAUCUGACAGAGAUGAUACCGUGAUCAUGAAGGUGAUUCAUCCAAAGUGAGGUUCUCCUCUCGCACACUGGCUGUUCUGACCUUCGUGAAUUCUCCAAACGCGGGACUGUCAACGGCACAGUUUAUGUUGGUGGGGAAAUGCGUGCGCGCUUUCCCCUG
ensembl:snRNA U1 U1 spliceosomal RNA